rnacentral:rRNA from 1 species
GGCCAUGUUGGUUAACAGAUCCUCAUCUGCUGGACGCCUGGCGAUGAUCUUUAUCGGUUGUCGUCAGUUGCCAGCACGUUUACUUUGAGAAAAUUAGAGUGCUAAAAGCAGGCUCACGCCUAUAUAUAUUGCAUGGAAUAAUGAAAUAAGAUCUCGAUUUUAUUUCGUUGGUUUUAGAAAUUGAGAUAAUGAUUAAUAGGAUCAGAGGGGGGCGUACGUACUGUGGUGUGAGAGGUGAAAUUCUUGGAUCGCCACAGGACGAACAGCAGCGAAGGCGUUCGCCAAGAAUGUUUUCAUUAAUCAAGAACGAAAGUUUGAGGUUCGAAGACGAUUAGAUACCGUCCUAGUUCAAACCAUAAACGUUGCCAACUGUCUUUUAGAUGCGGUUAUUUAUAUGACUCAUCUGGCGGAUCUCGAGAAAUCUAAGUUUUUAGGUUCCGGGGGAAGUAUGGUUGCAAAGCUGAAACUUAAAAGAAUUGACGGAAGGACACACAAGAAGUGGAGCCUGUGGCCUAAUUUGACUCAACACGGGAAACCUUACUCGGCCAGGACACUUUUAGGAUUGACAGAUUGAGAGCUCUUUCUUGAUUAGGUGGGUGGUGGUGCAUGGUCGUUCGUAGUUCGUGGAGCGAUUUGUCUGAUUAAUUUCGAUAACGAACGAGACUCCGGCUUACUAAAUAGUCUAAAGUUCGAAGGGACUUUUCAAGACUUCUUAGCAGGAUAAGUGG